rnacentral:lncRNA from 1 species
GAUAGGGACGGCGGCGCAGGGCGCCGGGGACGACAAGGACUACAAGGAGCCGCCGCCGGCGCCGCUGUUCGAGCCAGGGGAGCUCAAGUCGUGGUCUUUCUACCGGGCCGGGAUCGCCGAGUUCGUCGCCACCUUCCUCUUCCUCUACAUCACCAUCCUCACCGUCAUGGGGGUCUCCAAGUCCUCCUCCAAGUGCGCCACCGUCGGCAUCCAGGGCAUCGCCUGGUCCUUCGGAGGCAUGAUCUUCGCGCUCGUCUACUGCACCGCCGGCAUCUCCGGUCAGUUCACUCUCCUUUGGCUUCCUCCCCCACCUUCAAGAUCUCAAGUCUUCAACUUUGUCAUGAUUUUGCCUUGGUUUGUCUUGCUAGUUGAUACUUACUUGUUACCUGCACUUUGCUUGGCUCAGUAGUUUCUUCAUACUAGCAUGCUCACUUUAGUAAAGCAUGAGGUAUAGAAUCAUGUGUACUACUACUGCUCCUUCCAUAAGUAGCAAGACUUUGAGGCAUAUGGCAUUAACACUGAAUAAUUGAUGAAAGACUUUUAGUUACCUGCUUUUGGGGUGUUAGAUCAGUAUUAGUAACUGGAAAUUCACUAAAUUUGUUGUCCAUGCUCUUGUAGUUUUAAAGAAUUAUUAUAGCUUUCUACAGGUGUUGAAUGCACCAAAAAUUUAUGACACUACCUUUUGCUCUUGUACCAUCAUGUACCUUGUCUGCGCAAAGAUUUGUCGCUGGCAUAUUGUACUGCUGUGGUAUGUGAAUUUUGUUCUUAUGCAAAGGUUUGAUUUACGACUAGAAGAUUAAGGAUUUAAGGUCAUCCGAUUGAUUUAACUCUUAACCCAGCAUUUUCUUCGGUAGUGUUCUAACUGUUGAUGCUGAAACCACACAAAUUAUCACACAAAAAUAUAUUAUUUUUAGUUCAUCAAAAUUGAAUGUGCACUUGGAGCCUUGGAGGCAAAGAAAUAUGUGAUGCCAAAAUUUUCUCCUUGGUUAAUCUUCCUACCAGAAUAUUAACAAAACUAUAUGAACAAGUAAAUAUCUUGUGUUGUCAACUUAUACAGUCUAUCACAACUCGCAAUCUUAGAAGUUAAUUUCUGUACCAGUUUUAUAUAAUGCUUCAAAAUCUCAAAUACUACCUUGUUAAUCUCAAAAUAUGAAUACAUGAGGGUACACUAUACAGUCUUACUUCAACUGUCAUGACAACUGACCACAAAACAACUACGGCAAUUAAGGGCACUACUAAUAUCCAUUAUAUUGUCUGUUACUGCAACAGGAGGACACAUCAACCCAGCAGUUACUUUUGGGCUGUUCUUGGCCAGGAAGCUGUCCCUGACCCGGGCCAUCUUCUACAUAGUGAUGCAAUGCCUAGGGGCCAUCUGCGGAGCUGGAGUUGUGAAGGGCUUCCAGCAGGGUCUGUACAUGGGCAAUGGCGGUGGUGCCAAUGUAGUUGCCAGUGGCUACACCAAGGGUGACGGUCUUGGUGCUGAGAUUGUUGGCACCUUCAUCCUGGUCUACACCGUCUUCUCAGCCACUGAUGCCAAGAGGAAUGCCAGGGACUCACAUGUUCCUGUAAGUAUCCUUCUCCUUUUUGCAGUGUGAUAUGUGAAAGUUCAGUAGUAGUUAGUGUGGUCUAAUGAGUUAUGCACUGUGAUAACUAAUUCAUCACCAAACCCUAAAGUGAUAAUGUGCAAAUCACUAAGCAGUAUUUUGGUUAGCACCUUUACAUACCUCACUCAUACAGUAUGCCUUUAACAAUGAACUGGUGUGCUCAUAACUUGUAGGUGUGCGCCAUUUAUGGCUAGACUUUUAACUAGUUUAAUUUAUCAUGUUUGCUCAAGAAAUUGACUGUAUGCGUAUAGUUACUGGAAGUAUAUAUGGGUUUUUUGUGUGUUGCAUAACGUAUUUCUGUCCUUUGUUGGUGAAAACAGAUCCUUGCCCCACUGCCAAUUGGUUUUGCGGUGUUCCUGGUCCACCUGGCCACCAUCCCCAUCACCGGUACUGGCAUCAACCCAGCCAGGAGCCUUGGCGCUGCCAUCAUCUACAACAAGGACCAUGCCUGGAAUGACCAUGUGAGCAACCUUUCUUCUCUUUUUACCUACUCGCCGUUCUCAGCAAUUGGUUCCUCUUACAUUAUCAGAUAUUAGUCAGCACAUCAUUGAUAAUCGAUACAUUUUUUGUUGGCAAAUUGAGGUCUAAGCUGAUAAACAUGUCAGUAUAUAUAAUCAAAUGUUCUCAGCAAUUGGUUCCUCUUACAUUAUCAGAUAUUAGUCAGCACAUUACUGAUAAUCGAUACAUUUUUUGUUGGCAAAUUGAGGUCUAAGCUGAUAAACAUGUCAGUAUAUAUAAUCAAAUGUUCUGAUACUUUUUUUGGUUAUAUUUUUCUCUUUGUAUGGGUAGGUCUAAGAUGAUAAACAUGUCACUAUAACCAAAUGUAGCAGCAUGCUCUUGCUAAAGUUUACUUAGUAGCUUACCAGCUUACUAGCCUUUGCUCAAGAAAAGAGUAGAAGACACGACAAAGAGUUUUUCCUUACAAAUUUUGGUAUCUAAAUUUUGCAGUGGAUCUUCUGGGUUGGUCCCUUCGUUGGCGCUGCCCUGGCUGCCAUCUACCACCAGGUGAUCAUCAGGGCGAUCCCAUUCAAGAGCAGGUCUUAAGCCCCGCGCCGCCGCUGCGCAGCCGACGACAUGCAACGC